ACGUCCUCGGCUCGAACGGACGAACCGCUCGGCGGCGUGCUAACACAUGCAGUCGAACGGAAGGCCUCUGCUGCAGAGGUACUCGAGUGGCGAACGGGUGAGUAACACGUGGGUGAUCUGCCUUGCACUUCGGGGAUAAGCCUGGGAAACUGGGUCUAAUACCGGAUAGGACCAUGCUUUAGUGUGUGUGGUGGAAAGUUUUUCGGUGCAAGAUGAGCCCGCGGCCUAUCAGCUUGUUGUGGGGUAAUGGCCUACCAAGGCGACGACGGGUAGUCGGCCUGAGAGGGUGUACGGCCACAUUGGGACUGAGACACGGCCCAGACUCCUACGGGAGGCAGCAGUGGGGAAUAUUGCACAAUGGGCGCAAGCCUGAUGCAGCGACGCCGCGUGGGGGAUGAAGGCCUUCGGGUUGUAAACUCCUUUCGCUAGGGAAGAAGCCCUUUUGGUGACGGUACCUGGAUAAGAAGCACCGGCUAACUACGUG
rnacentral:rRNA from 1 species